GAAAAGAAAGCAAAAGCGAUUCCCCAAGUAACGGCGAGUGAACAGGGAUAAGCCUAGCGCUAAGGCUUAAUGUGGCUGUCGCAAGGCGGCCAACUAAGACAACAUUAAGCGGUGCAGCGUUACAAACUCUGGUGUUUGUAGUGUCAAUGUGGCACAUCGGGCAACUGGUGUGUUACUUUCGGCCUAGCGUACAAGUCCCAUUGACUUGGGCUUAUUCUUAAUUGAGAUGUCUACGUGUUUGGGGCAACCUGGACACGUGGAUGAGCCAUAGAGGGUGAAAGUCCCUUAAUGCGCGGGUAUUGAUGCUACUAAUCAGAGCAGUGGUGUCUGGUAAAACAGGCAUUGCGGUUUAUUAGAGUCGGGUUGCUUGAGAGUGCAACCUAAAGAGCGAGGUAAACUGCUCGUAAGGCUAUGUAAAUACGGCUACGACACCGAUAGCAAACAAGUACCGUGAGGGAAAGUUGCAAAGUACUUUGAAGAGAGAGUUAAACAGGGCGUGAAACCGCUAGCUGGUAAACGAGUGGAGCCACGAAGUCGUUUCGUAGAAUACGGGGCGCAAAUUCAGCUGUGGUCUCCUCGUGGGGCCUCAGCGUAUUUUUGCUUGUCUCGCUACUGUAAGCGUACACUGCAACCAAUUAGACGGCCAAACGUGGAAACAGUUUGCAAGUCGACAGGGAAACUUGUUGCUUGUAAACGUAAAAAUUUAUGUAUCUACUGUAGGUAGCUUGGUUAGAGUCUUGUAUUUUAUCCGGGUGUCUGAUGGCUAGAUACGUGAACUACGUUUGGGUACUGAUUGGCAAAAGGAAAAUCGAAUCGCAAGAUUCGUUUGUUCAUAGAAAGCGUCCAGCAUCGUAUAUGGGUACAAUUGCGCGCCGCUAGUGUAAGCUUGAUAUUUUUGAAUUCAGGCACGUAUAUUGUGAUCGGGCUUGUCUUGUUCAUAUAUGCGCUGUCUCCUGUCUAAUCGGGUAUUAACUUUACUGGCGGUCUCGAUGUAAUUGCUAUGAUAGCCUGUAUGCGAUAGUUGGUCUGCAAGCAUUAGCAG
rnacentral:rRNA from 1 species